rnacentral:Y_RNA from 1 species
GGCUGGUUUGAGUGCAGUGCUGUUUACACCUAAAUGAUUCCAACCAGUUACAGAUUUCUUUGUUUCUUCUCCACUUACACUGCUUCCCUUGACUAGCCUUAA